GCCUAACCUAACACACAAUAAUAUACCGAUUGUUCGCCAAACAACUACGAGUAAAAACUUAAAACUUAAAAGACUUGACGGUACUUCACACCACCCUAGAGGAGCCUGUCUAAUAACCGAUACCCCACGAUUAACCCAACCCCCUCUGGCCAACCAGUCUAUAUACCGCCAUCGCCAGCUUACCUUGUAAAAGAAACAAAGUAAACGCAACAGCUCACCGCUAACACGAUAGGUCGAGGUGUAACAAAUGAGGGGGGAAAAGAUGGGCUACAUUUUCUAACACAGAAAACACGAACAGACUAUGAAAAUAGAAACAGAAGGCGGAUUUAGCAGUACGUUAAGGACAAAAUGCUUAACCGAAAUAAACGCAAUGAAGUGCGUACACACCGCCCGUCAUCCCUGCAAAUAACAAACAACCAUUUAUAAAAACAUAAAACACUUUAAACAGGGCAAGUCGUAACAUGGUAAGCGUACUGGAAAGUGCGCUUAGAAA
rnacentral:rRNA from 1 species